rnacentral:lncRNA from 1 species
AAAUUUAAAAAAUCUUUCUUUCCUUUUCAAACUCUAUGUCAAGUCCAAACAAUAUCACAUAAAUUGAAAUGGAGGACGGUAGUAUUUACAUUGCAACAUAAAUAGAAAGAUAUUUAGAGUCUAUAUAAUAGAAACUAUAAGAAUGCCGACCCGGUAAAUCAUCUAACUUUGUAUAGCUGAAAGUUGCCAAAUCGGUUGAAAGAAUUGAAAGGAAUGCUGGAAAAUGAGCUUCAAAGCUUGAACUUCCACUUUCAAUAGUCAGAAGAAGCGCGGAUGGCACCAGUCCUGAUUGAUUGUUUUGAAGUGAAGGGUUUUUUCUGCAUUCUACAGACACGCCAAAUUCAGACUUUCAAAUGACAUCAA